UUUUUUUCCCCAUUUCCCAAGGAUUUUUUUUCCAUUUUCCCAACUUUUCCAUCCCCAUUUUCCCAAAUUUUUCCCAAUUUUUUUCCUCCAUUUCCCCUUUUUUUUACCAAUUUUCCCCCCCCCAAUUUUCCCAUUUCCUUCCUCACCAUUUUCCCAAAUUUUUCCCCAUUUUUCCCAAAUUUUUUCCCCCUUUUCCCAUUUUUUCCCCCCAAUUUUCCCCCCAUUUUUUCCCAAUUCCUUCCCCACCAUUUUCCCCAAAUUUUUUUUCCCUUUUCCCAAAUUUCCCCCCCAAUUUUCCAGGAUUUUUUUCCCCCAUUUUUCCCCAAAUUUUCCCAUUUUCUCCAAGUUUUUUCCCCAUUUUUCCCAAAUUUCCCCCUCAUUUUCCAAGCUUUUUUUUCCCAUUUCCCAAGGAUUUUUCCCCCAUUUUCCCAACUUUCCCAUCCCCAUUUUCCCAAAUUUUUCCCAAAUUUUUUUCCCCUUUUCCCAAAUUUUCCCCCAAUUUUUCCCAAUUAUUUUCCUUUAUUUUCCCAUUUUUUCCCCGAUUUUUCCCCCCCAAUUUUCCCAAUUCCUUCCUCACCAUUUUCCCAAAUUUUUCCCCCAUUUUUUCCUCUUUUCCCAAAUUUUUCAUUCCCUUUUCCCAAUUUUUUUCCCAAUUUUUCCCAUUUUUCCCAAGUUUUUUUUCCCCUUUUCCCAAAUUUUCCAGGAUUUUUUUCCCCAUUUUUCCCCAAAUUUUCCCAUUUUCCCCAAGUUUUUUCCCCAUUUUUCCCAAAUUCCCCAAGCUUUUUUUUCCCCAUUUCCCAAGGAUUUUUCCCCCAUUUUCCCAACUUUUCCAUCCCCAUUUCCCCAAAUUUUUCCCAAAUUUUUUCCUUUAUUUUCCCAUUUUUUUACCAAUUUUUUCCCCCCAAUUUUCCCAUUUCUUUCCUCACCAUUUUCCCAAUUUUUUCCCCAUUUUUCCCAAAUUUUUUCCCUCUUUUCCCAUUUUUUUCCCAUUUUUCCCCCAAUUUUCUCAAUUCCUUCCCCACCAUUUUCCCAAUUUUUUCUGAAGUUUUUUUCCCCUUUUCCCAAUUUUUUUCCCCAAUUUUCCUGGGUUUUGUUUUUCCAUUUUUUUUUCCCAUUUUCCCACGAUUUUUCCCCAUUUUUUUCCCAUUUUUUCCCCCCAUUUUCCCAAAUUUUUCCCAAUUUUUUUUCCCCAUUUCCCAAAUUUUUCACCCAAUUUUCCUGGGUUUUGUUUUUCCAUUUUUCUUCCCAUUUUCCCAAAUUUUUUUUUCCCCGUUUCCCAAUUUUUUCCCCAUUUUUCCCAACUUUUUCAUUCCCUUUUCCCAAAUUUUCCCCCAAUUUUCCAGGAUUUUUUUUCCCCAUUUUUCCCCAAAUUUUCCUAUUUUCCCCAAGUUUUUUCCCCAUUUUUCCCAAAUUUCCCAAAUUUUUUUUUCCCCAUUUCCCAAGGAUUUUUCCCCCAUUUUCCCAACUUUUCCAUCCCCAUUUUCCCAAAUUUUUCCCAAAUUUUUUCCUUUAUUUUCCCAUUUUUUUCCCAAUUUUUUUCCCCCCAAUUUUCCCAUCUCCUUCCUCACCAUUUUCCCAAAUUUUUCCCCAUUUUUCCCCCAUUUUUUCCUCUUUUCCCAAAUUUUUCAUUCCCUUUUCCCAAAUUUUCCCCCAAUUUUCCUGGGUUUUGUUUUUCCAUUUUUCCCCCAAAUUUUCCCAUUUUCCCCCCAUUUUCCCAAAUUUUUUUCCCCAUUUUUCCCAAAUUUCCCAGGUUUUUUUUUCCCAUUUCCCAAGGAUUUUUAUCCCAUUUUCCCAACUUUUCCAUCCCCAUUUCCCCAAAUUUUUCCCAAAUUUUUCCCAAAUUUUUUCCUUUAUUUUCCCAUUUUUUUACCAAUUUUUUCCCCCCAAUUUUCCCAUUUCUUUCCUCACCAUUUUCCCAAUUUUUUCCCCAUUUUUCCCAAAUUUUUUCCCCCUUUUCCCUAUUUUUUUCCUCCAUUUUCCCAUUUUUUUCCCCCCAUUUUUCCCAAAUUUUUUUCCCCAUUUCCCAAAUUUUUCCCCCAAUUUUCCUGGGUUUUGUUUUUCCAUUUUUCUUCCCAUUUUCCCAAAUUUUUUUUCCCUUUUCCCAUUUUUCCCCCAUUUUUCCCAAAUUUUUUUCCCCAUUUUUCCCAAAUUUCCCCCCCCAUUUUCCAAGCUUUUUUUCCCCAUUUCCCAAGGAUUUUUACCCCAUUUUCCCAACUUUUCCAUCCCCAUUUUCCCAAAUUUUUCCCAAAUUUUUUCCUUUAUUUUCCCAUUUUUUUCCCAAUUUUUUUCCCCCCAAUUUUCCCAUCUCCUUCCUCACCAUUUUCCCAAAUUUUUCCCCAUUUUUCCCCCAUUUUUUCCUCUUUUCCCAAAUUUUUCAUUCCCUUUUCCCAAAUUUUCCCCCAAUUUUCCUGGGUUUUGUUUUUCCAUUUUUCCCCCAAAUUUUCCCAUUUUCCCCCCAUUUUCCCAAAUUUUUUUCCCCAUUUUUCCCAAAUUUCCCAGGUUUUUUUUUCCCAUUUCCCAAGGAUUUUUAUCCCAUUUUCCCAACUUUUCCAUCCCCAUUUCCCCAAAUUUUUCCCAAAUUUUUCCCAAAUUUUUUCCUUUAUUUUCCCAUUUUUUUACCAAUUUUUUCCCCCCAAUUUUCCCAUUUCUUUCCUCACCAUUUUCCCAAAUUUUCCCCAUUUUUCCCAAGUUUUUCCCCAAUUUUUUUCUUCCAUUUUCCCAUUUUUUCCCCAUUUUCCCCCCAUUUUUUCCCAAUCCCUUC
rnacentral:lncRNA from 1 species